rnacentral:lncRNA from 1 species
CUGCUCUCAGUGAGAAUUUGCAUGGCUAACCAGGCAAGAGAGUGCUGCAUACACAUCUUUGCUUUGAUUUAAUUGUGGAGCACUUUCGUUCUGUGAUGUUCUUCAUUCCACAGGGGACAAUCUAGUUUAUUGUGUGACUUGCCUCCAGAAAUCACAUAGAUUGGGUACAGAGAAGCAUUCUUCAUUCAGAACGGGAUUUUGUGAAACUACGAUUCAGCACAGGAUCAUGACGACCGGCCUGCCCAAUUGACUUCCUAGGGAAGAGGAAUGUGAUACUGGUGCUGGAUAGAGCUAGCAAUCAGAGGAAAGGGUGGUGUGCUUGCCAUUCUUAGGGAUGAGUGAAAAUAGCUGAAGUUUAUGUGAGAUUUUUAUCCAUUUGCAAGGUAAGAAGAAUUCAUUUGCAUUAAGAAAUCAGCAUGAGCUGGAUUUUUUUAACAAGAUUCACAGUGGUACUGGAACCAAAAUAAACAUUUGUUUUCUAGAGCAGCUGUUGUUUUUUUUGGAUACCACUAAUGUGUAUGUAUCCGAAACUACUUGAAGUCUACGAGAUGCUGAUGCAUACACCCAGCAGCAGCCUUGGAACUCUUGAGGACAUAUCUGUGGGUCAGCUUACAGGAAAGAUUUUACACGAUUCUCCACAAGCAGGAAGAGGGAACAGCAACAUGCCAGCAAGAGAGAUGUUUUCAUCCAGAGGGCAAUGAGUUUGGUUUCUGCAAGUUUUCCAGGUUUUUGUGAUGCCCCGAGAACUGCAGGAGUAAUUUUCUCACCAUUUUCUAUGCAUUUCAAGAUCUUACAGCCUAUCCCACAGGAAGAAGAGGAAAAGACUGAGCACAUAAGGAAUUGAGAACAGUGUGAGUUUCAGUGCAAAGAAUUUGUGACCUAGAAUCAUUCACCCCCUGGCAUCAAUACAGUCCGAGGCCACCCUAUGAACUGAUGUUCUUGGCAAAUUUUCCUUUGCAAAGAUGGCUUGCUUUCCUAGUGAACGUUUUCAUAGGUCUGUUUUGUCCUGAUCAUCAGUACUGAGUUUCUUGCCUUCAACUAUGAAAAAAGCUAUGAAAACUCAUGCUUUCUGAUAAAAUCAGCUUGUAUAGUAUACUAUACAAGUGACAAGGCUGAACCUCUCGCAUGGCAAAAGAUCUGUUGGAAGUGCUAUGUGUGCAUUUCCUACUUUCUUACAUUGACAGACUGUUGCUCAUAAUGAGUAUUUCCUGUGAGUACAUGAGAAAGAAAUGAAUAUUUAGUCAACAUC